UACGUAGGGAGCAAGCGUUGUCCGGAAUCAUUGGGCGUAAAGCGCGCGUAGGUGGCCAUGUAAGUCCGCUGUGAAAGUCAAAGGCUCAACCUUUGAAAGCCGGUGGAUACUGCAUGGCUAGAGUACGGAAGAGGCGAGUGGAAUUCCUGGUGUAGCGGUGGAAUACGCAGAUAUCAGGAGGAACACCAAUAGCGAAGGCAGCUCGCUGGGACGUUACUGACACUGAGGCGCGAAAGCGUGGGGAGCGAACAGG
rnacentral:rRNA from 1 species